UUUUGUUUUUAAUUCUUAUUUACAUUAAUUGAAGACGUAAAAACCAUUCAAUUGGGAUUCUAGUUUAAAAAUUGCUACUAAUAAGGUGAUGUCACCUCCUACAAUUUAAUAAACCUUUACAAUUCUCAAUUUCCUCACCUAUAAAAUGACAUUUAGACUAAAUAAUCUUUAAGGUUCCUUGCAGUGAAAUCUAAUGUUCUGAGAUUUUAUCUAAAUCAAAUUAUUAAGAAUUAUUUCUGUUAAAGCUCAGCUAGCUUCCAUCUUAUUUGUUGCAAUCCUAAGAAAAAUUAGAACAGCACAGGUAUAUUUUUAAUGAUUUAAGGCAUUUUUUUGGAAAUUCUGUUUCAAUUAAACUAAGGCAUUUUUGUUCAAAUUUUUAAUAACUGCUUUCUCUAUUCUUAUCUAAUUAGCUCUACCUCCUGAUAUUUCUCAUCUAACUACAUUCAAGAUUCACUGAUUAUUUUAUUUGAUUUCUGAGCCUAAAAGGAGGCUACAUUAUGGGCUCUGAGUUUAUAUUACAAAGUUUUUUGUUUGUUUUCCUUGUAUCUAUUCCUAAGUAAUCAUAUUUUUUCACAUGCUUAUAGUUUUGAUAUUAAUAAUCCUACUUACCUCCUCACAGCUUAAUUUACACUUGAUCUUAGCUAAAAGGCCAAGAAGCAAUACCAGCUUAACUUACAUUUUAUCUAUAAAAGGAAAUAUUCUGGAAGGUGACUAUAGAAAUACCAUAUUUAUUUUUGAGAGGUUAUUACUUAGUGCUUAGAACUGAUUCUUUAUCUUAUUAGUUUAUUGGUUAAACUAAUUUGUUGUUACAUAGUAAAAUACAUAUGAGGUUCAUUUAUAAAAACUAGAGAAGUAACACAUCUAAGAAUGUUUGAAAUUCAUUUUUUGCUAACAUUUUGCUAAACGAAUUUUGCUAAAUUUAAAACUUUCAUAUCAGAUUCUUAAUGAGCUAUCAACUAAUAAUAGACUAAUGGGCUCAAAAAAUGUUCAAUUAACUAAAAUGCAAGUUUUAAAUAGUUCACUGCUAUGUCUUAAAACUUUGAAUUAAUGAACUCAAAGUAAAAGAACAUUUAUCUCCUUAUUAGUUUUGUAUAAUUGUUAUAGUAUUUGUACUGGCAAAUAUUUUAUUUUAAGGUGAUAGUAUUGUGAAAACACAACAGUGGAGGAGUUCUUAAUCACAUAAUCUAGUCAUUUUACCUUCAAUGAUGCCAAAAGAUCCUAAAUAGAUAAAUCUUAUUGUGAAAAUCAUCAUCUGUGGAUAACCUUUUCUCAGUUUUUUUUCUUUCUGGUUUCCUGAUUGAGGAUUUAAUCAAUAAGUACUAUUCCCUUAUGUUUAAUUGAACUUCCAUAAAGCAGAUAUUUAUGGACUUCAUGUACGUUUUUAUUCUCUUCACAAAGUGAAAAAACAUAGCCUUAAAAAAAUAAACUUGUUUUAAUAAUCAUUA